UUUCAAGUAUCUGCCUUAUCAACUUUCGAUGGUAGUGUAUCUGACUACCAUGGUGGUGACGGGUAACGGAGGAUAAGGGUUCGACUCCGGAGAAGGGGCCUGAGAAAUGGCCACUACGUCUAAGGAUGGCAGCAGGCGCGCAAAUUACCCACUCUCAGAAUGAGGAGGUAGUGACGAGAAAUAACGAGACCGUUCUCUACGAGGCCGGUCAUCGGAAUGGGUACAAUUUAAACCCUUUAACGAGUAUCUAUGAGAGGGCAAGUCUGGUGCCAGCAGCCGCGGUAAUUCCAGCUCUCAAAAUGCAUAGAAUUAUUGCUGCGGUUAAAAAGCUCGUAGUUGGAUCUGUGCCGGUGGACCCGGUCCACUCGAAAGGGUGCGCACUGGGCUCCCCGGCUUUCUGCCGGUUUUCCCGUCGUGGCCUUAACUGGUUGCGGCGGGUGGCUGGCGAUUUUACUUUGAACAAAUCAGAGUGCUUAAAACAGGCGUUUCGCUUGAAUGUUCGUGCAUGGAAUAAUAGAAAAGGAUUUCGGUUCUAUUUUAUUGGUUUUAUAGACUGAGAUAAUGGUUAACAGAGACAAACGGGGGCAUUCGUAUUGCUGCGUGAGAGGUGAAAUUCUUGGACCGCAGCAAGACGAACUACAGCGAAAGCAUUUGCCAAGAAUGUCUUCAUUAAUCAAGAACGAAAGUCAGAGGUUCGAAGGCGAUCAGAUACCGCCCUAGUUCUGACCGUAAACGAUGCCAACUAGCGAUCCGCCGGUGGAUGCAUUGCCCUGGUGGGGAGCUUCCCGGAAACGAAAGUCUUCCGGUUCCGGGGGAAGUAUGGUUGCAAAGCUGAAACUUAAAGGAAUUGACGGAAGGGCACCACCAGGAGUGGAGCCUGCGGCUUAAUUUGACUCAACACGGGAAAACUCACCCGGCCCGGACACCGUAAGGAUUGACAGAUUGAUAGCUUUUUCAUGAUUCGGUGGAUGGUGGUGCAUGGCCGUUCUUAGUUCGUGGAGCGAUUUGUCUGGUUUAUUCCGAUAACGAGCGAGACUCUAGCCUACUAAAUAGUCCACACAUUGCUUUGUGCUGUGGUACUUCUUAGAGGGAUUUUCGGUGUACAGCCGCACGAAAUUGAGCAAUAACAGGUCUGUGAUGCCCUUAGAUGUCCGGGGCUGCACGCGCGCUACACUGGCAAAAUCAGCGUGCUUGUCCUUUCCCGAAAGGGAUCGGUAAACCAUUGAAAAUUUGCCGUGAUUGGGAUUGGAAAUUGCAAUUAUUUUCCGUGAACGAGGAAUUCCAAGUAAGUGCGAGUCAUCAACUCGCGUUGAUUACGUCCCUGCCCUUUGUACACACCGCCCGUCGCUGCCCGGGACUGAGCCAUUUCGAGAAACUUGGGGAUCGCUGGUUGGGGACCUUCGGGUCUUCCUUCCGGUGAAAACCAAUUUAAUCGCAGUGGCUUGAACCGGGCAA
rnacentral:rRNA from 1 species